UACGUAGGGUGCAAGCGUUAGUCGGAAUUACUGGGCGUAAAGCGUGCGCAGGCGGUGAUGUAAGACAGGUGUGGAAUCCCCGGGCUUAACCUGGGAACUGCAUUGAAUACUGGGAGGCUAGAGUACUGGAGAGGAAACUGGAAUUUACGGUGUAGCAGUGAAAUGCGUAGAGAUCGUAAGGAAGACCAGUGGCGAAGGCGAGUUUCUGGACAGUUACUGACGCUGAGGCACGAAGGCCAGGGGAGCAAACGGG
rnacentral:rRNA from 1 species